rnacentral:rRNA from 1 species
GACGAACGCUGGCGGCGUGCUUAACACAUGCAAGUCGAACGAUGAACCCGGAGCUUGCUCCGGUGGAUUAGUGGCGAACGGGUGAGUAACACGUGAGUAACCUGCCCUUGACUCUGGGAUAACUGCGGGAAACUGUAGCUAAUACCGGAUACGACCCUCGGCGGCAUCGCCAGGGGGUGGAAAGAAUUUCGGUAAAGGAUGGAGACGCGGCCUAUCAGCUAGUUGGUGCAGUAACGGCGCACCAAGGCGACGACGGGUAGCCGGCCUGAGAGGGUGACGGGCCAUACUGGGACUGAGACACGGACCAGGCUCCGACGGGAGGCAGCAGUGGGGAAUAUUGCAGAAUGGGCGCAAGCCUGAUGCAGCAGCGCGGCGUGAGGGAGGACGGCCUUCGUGUUGUAAACCUCUUUUAGCAGGGAAGAAGCGAAAGUGACGGUACCUGCAGAAAAAGCACCGGCUAACUACGUGCCAGCAGCCGCGGUAA